UACGGAGGGAGCUAGCGUUGUUCGGAAUUACUGGGCGUAAAGCGCACGUAGGCGGCUUUGUAAGUUAGAGGUGAAAGCCCGGGGCUCAACUCCGGAACUGCCUUUAAGACUGCAUCGCUUGAAUCCAGGAGAGGUGAGUGGAAUUCCGAGUGUAGAGGUGAAAUUCGUAGAUAUUAGGAAGAACACCAGUGGCGAAGGCGGCUCACUGGCUCGGUACUGACGCUGAGGCGCGAAAGCGUGGGGAGCAAACAGG
rnacentral:rRNA from 1 species